AGUGAACGCUGGCGGUAGGCCUAACACAUGCAAGUCGAACGGCAGCACAGUAAGAGCUUGCUCUUACGGGUGGCGAGUGGCGGACGGGUGAGGAAUACAUCGGAAUCUACUUUUUCGUGGGGGAUAACGUAGGGAAACUUACGCUAAUACCGCAUACGACCUACGGGUGAAAGCAGGGGAUCUUCGGACCUUGCGCGAUUGAAUGAGCCGAUGCCGGAUUAGCUAGUUGGCGGGGUAAAGGUCCACCAAGGCGACGAUCCGUAGCUGGUCUGAGAGGAUGAUCAGCCACACUGGAACUGAGACACGGUCCAGACUCCUACGGGAGGCAGCAGUGGGGAAUAUUGGACAAUGGGCGCAAGCCUGAUCCAGCCAUACCGCGUGGGUGAAGAAGGCCUUCGGGUUGUAAAGCCCUUUUGUUGGGAAAGAAAAGCAGCAGGUUAAUACCCCGCUGUUCUGACGGUACCCAAAGAAUAAGCACCGGCUAACUUCGUG
rnacentral:rRNA from 1 species